UCUUUAUUAACUGAAUAAAUGGACAAAUAACUCAUAAAGAAUAUGCUCUUUAUCUUACUAACCAGAUUCUUCCAUGAGCCUAUUUGCUGCCUUCAGAGACCAAGACACUGAGAUCCACAGGUCCCACCUGGACUGGUUAUGGCCACGAAACCGGGAGGCAGAGGAAGAGCCUGGAGACACUGUACUGAAAGCUACACCCAAGCCUGCAAUGCUGCCACUGGCCGUGGGGAACAGCUGCUGCAACAUCAACUUCUGCAGCCAGCUCUUAGGGAAGGGGAAUCUUGGAGUUCAGUCAGAACGGAACCAGUGGGCCAUCUGGAGGGCCAAAAGGCAGGGCGGCUGAUGAAGAAGAGAGACGUUCCUGCUUGCGGGGUCUCCGUGGAGGGGGUGAAGACAAUUGGAAGAUUCCUGUGGGUGUCUAUGUUACCACUUACUAGGUAUGUGAUUUCAGGUAGGUGUAGAAUGGUGUAUAUAGUACCUUUUAGGACAGUAUCAUAGGAUGUUUAUGAGAAUCGAGUGUGAUAACUGUUGCAAAAUAAAUCAAGCAAUAUACAAAUGUGGUUCUACUGUGAAAUAUCAAACGGAGAGAGAAAAGAAAUUGGAAGAAAUUUGAACCAUGGAAACUUUCCCUUUAGCAAAGAACAGGCAUAAAGGGAACAAAAGGGAUAAGACUAGAAAACUGACAAAGGGGGGGUGGGUAUGGAAAAAUGAGAGGAAGUAAUAAAUGGGAAAUAUAAACUAGUUGUAUUAAAAAUAUUUUUCAGAUUUUACCUAGUUAAAUAUAUUAAAUUCACAGGUCUUAUUCCAGCAUGAUUUCCUUCAAAAUUUGGGUAAAAAGUACAUUAAAAAAAGAAAAAAAAAAAACCUCUUUAAUUUUUGUAUUCAAAUUCUAAGGGAGUUUAUUUCUAGUUUAAAGAAAGAAGAAUCAGUUCUACAAAAAUAGUCUGCAUUUGUGGUUUAUCCCCAGCCGGUGUUUGUGGCAACUUUGCUCAAAAAGAUCUGUUUGCUCUGAACUUGGAGAAAGGGCGAGUGGUGUCACAGUAGAAUGAUUCUAUCCUGUUGACCACAGAUUUGUAGUCGUGCAUGGGAGCACACAUUCUGGCUAAGAUUUGACACCAAAGCUUCACAUUUAGAAAGAAAAAGUCUUGCUGUUUGAGAUCCCUGGUUUUGUUCCAGGAAGAGAGGCAAGAUUAAAGGCUUUGUGGAUGCAAGAACAAACAUAAGCUAAGAAUCUGGCAAAUACUGGACAGGAUAUUUUCAAAGGAAAUAGGAUACUUUUUUUUCAAUUUUUAUGAUUCUGCCAGUCACAUUUUGGUUGAAAAUCUAAUCUUGUUUCAAGGAUAAAAGGAUAAAUUGAUACCCUCUCGGCAACAAGCGAAGUGUUUAAAGGCAACACUAUUUGAUUAUUUUUACUCUGACAUGUAGAGAAACUGUCAUUUUAAUCAAUAAAAUUAAUUAGAAUGGCAUUGUAUUUGAAGCUUUCGUAAAAGCAAAAAAACGUGUUUGUGAGUAGUUCUGCUGACAUUUACCCAAUCACCUCUCUUCUUUGGUCGUCAGCAUUUUGGUUAGUGCUUUAUAGUCCUCUUGAUUUAAACUCUCAUCAUGAUCUACUCCGAUUCAGUCAUGAAUCUCAAAAUAUGUUGCUGAAAUAAAACCUUUGAUAUUUAGGGCGGUUUUUAAUGAUUUGUCUUCUUCUGGAUUGACCAAUUUUAAAGGAAAAAAUGCUGACUCAUAUUCACGCUUUCCAUGCAUACAUUAUUUUAUGACACGUCGUCUCAGAGCAUGAAGUAUUUCUUCUCAGAGCGAAAAUUUGGAGGAACACAGGUGCCAGGGCCAAAGCAUCUAUAAGUGGACUGUCUACAAGGGAACACGUUAUCGUAAAUUAAUGCUGCAAUCAAGAAAAAA